rnacentral:tmRNA from 1 species
GGGGGCGUCAGGGUUCGACGGGACACGCUUGACGCUCAGUGGCGAGCCGAGGCGCCGCUGGCCUCGUAAAAAAGCGGCACACAAGAAGUGCGAACACCAACUAUGCUCUCGCUGCCUAAUUGAGCAGCGCGCCGCUCGCCUCGCGGUCGGUCCGAGGCGAGAUGCGCGUGGGCAGACCGACUGGCUCCUGAAGCCGCGCUCAGGGCGGACGGAGGACACUCAGCUGAGCUGGCGUCGGGGCGCCCUGCCUGUCGGGAAACCCGACGCGAGAGCCAAAGACAGGAUACGCUCGUAGAAGCUGAGUGCGCAACGGUCUCGGAAGGGGGUUCAAUUCCCCCCGCCUCCACCA